AGUGAACGCUGGCGGUAGGCCUAACACAUGCAAGUCGAACGGCAGCACAGUAAGAGCUUGUUCUUACGGGUGGCGAGUGGCGGACGGGUGAGGAAUACAUCGGAAUCUACUUUUUCGUGGGGGAUAACGUAGGGAAACUUACGCUAAUACCGCAUACGACCUACGGGUGAAAGCAGGGGAUCUUCGGACCUUGCGCGAUUGAAUGAGCCGAUGUCGGAUUAGCCAGUUGGCGGGGUAAAGGCCCACCAAGGCGACGAUCCGUAGCUGGUCUGAGAGGAUGAUCAGCCACACUGGAACUGAGACACGGUCCAGACUCCUACGGGAGGCAGCAGUGGGGAAUAUUGGACAAUGGGCGCAAGCCUGAUCCAGCCAUACCGCGUGGGUGAAGAAGGCCUUCGGGUUGUAAAGCCCUUUUGUUGGGAAAGAAAAGCAGCAGGUUAAUACCCCGCUGUUCUGACGGUACCCAAAGAAUAAGCACCGGCUAACUUCGU
rnacentral:rRNA from 1 species